GGAACAUAAGGGCUAGCUAAGGUAUAUUGAGCAGUGCUGGAGGCUCUACAGUGAAAUAAGGCAAGAAUUACUAACCAAAACAGCAAUAGAAAAGGCAUAUUGACAUUAGGGAGAGGAAUGUGUAGCUGAGUGAUCAUAGGGUCCAGUGAGUAGCUAUGUGAGCUGGAGGCACAGAGAUUCAGACAGCUAUUUAUUUAUUUUACCUUUAUUUAACUAGGCAAGUUAGUUAAGAACAAAUUCUUAUUUUCAAUGAUGGCCUAGGAACAAUGGGUUAACUGCCUUGUUCAGGGGGAGAACAACAGAUUUUUUACCUUGUCAGCUCAGGGAUUCGAUCUUGCAACCUUUCAUGUACAAGUCCAACGCUCUAACCACUAGGCUACCUGCCACCCCAGCUAGCAGGCCAGGUCUAGCAGCAGGCUAGCAGAUGGGCCUCAGGGGGACGUCGCAACAAGAGUCUGUUGAAACCCCCUCGGGCGGUUACAUCGGCAGACCAGUUGUGAUAAAUCGGCAGGGCUCCGUGUUGGCAGCAAAGUGUCCAGGCCAAUUGCAGAAGAGGUAUUGAAGCCCAGGAAUUAUCUGAUGGAAUUCUUUGGCUAGCCGGGAGAAGGGCCUAGCUCGAGGCUAGCUCCAGGCUAACUGGUGCUUGCUUCAGGACAGAAAACCCUUUUGGAUGGUCACGUCGGUAGACCAGUCGUGAUGGAUCGGUGAGGGUCCAGGCCAAUUGGCAAAAGAGGUAAUUGAAGCCCAGGGAUUGCUUGAUGGAAUCCCUUUAGCUAGCCGGGAGAUGGGCAUAGUUCGAGGCUAGCUCCAGGCUAACUACUAGCUAGUAGCUAGUUAGCUGGCUAGCUUCAGAAGGGGGGUCCGGUUCAAAAGUGUAAAAAUAGCAGAUCCAUACCACAUUGGGUGAGGCGGGUUGCAGGAGAGUAUGUUUAGUCUGUAGAUGGAAAAUGAGAUAAAAAAAAAUAUACGAAAUAUAAAAGAAAAACCAUAUAUACAGGGAUGGGACAAGACAAUCAAAAUAGACAUCCCCACUGCUAUGCCAUCUUGGAUUAGGACACUUUAAGAAGAGGGCCAUGUUCCAACUGCCAGAUCUACUUCUGCUCCCCAAUGUCCAGAGCGAUCACAAAACUACCACAAUUGAUUUGAAUGAUUUAUUACAAUAGGGAUUUGUUCUUGGUUAGUUCCUGGGAUUGCUGUUAUGUGUGUUCAAGUUGAACUGAUGUUGAGGAGUAUGGGGGCUCUUUCAGGUUUGUGUGGGAGAGAGGAAGGAAGGGAGAGAAGGAUGCAAGAGUCAGGACCAGACCUGAGACAGCCGGCCAGCCAGUCAGCCAGAGCUUUACAGGGUUGAGGCAGUGACAUGUGUGUCAGGUCCACCAGGCAGGCUGGGGGUGGUGUCUGGGGGGGUUACAGCAUGAGUGUGGUGGGGUAGCUGGCUCUGGAAACAGACUCUAAUAACAUGUUUCCAUGUGUCACUUCAGUGGAGGUGAGACAAGGGCCAGGACAUAGCAGAGGAGCCGUUUCCAUGUUUGUGCCUGCCAGCUUGGGUUAGACCCUCAGGAGUCUGAGUAGCGCUGGUUGGGGCUGUUUUGGGAUGUCAAGCCUCCGAGGGUUUUAGCCUAACCUAAUUUAGUUACCACUGCAGAAUUGGCUGGACAAUCUGUCAGUCAGAGUGGCCUGAAAUAACCUCUGGACCCCUUCCCUCUCUAUUGAGUGGCUGUGAUGGCCAGGCUUACCUCUCCACUGCCCAGAAUUACGUGACUGUGGACUAGCACAUUAGCAAGGGAGAGUUUAGAGAGAUCUGAUUACAGCUCAAAAUGGAUUUUGGCGUUGUGUAGAACUGGAAAAGUGUGAAACAUCUCAUGAUGUAAGUUGCGUUACUGUGAGUUUGUCUGAUAUUGUGGUUUUGAGGAGAUUUCAGUGAUGAGCUAUGACUCAGGUAUGCAGUUGUGAUACUCCUCGAUUGCUCACCUACUUGAACUCUCGCCCACUGCCAAGGCACAGGAAUUAACCCCCACCCUGAAGGCACAGGAAUUAACACCCACCCUGGAAGCACAGGAAUUAACACCCACCCUGAAGGCACAGAAAUUAACACCCUCCCUGGAGGCACAGGAAUUAACACCCGCCCUGAAGGCACAGGAAUUAACACCCACCCUGGAGACACAGGAAUUAACACCCUCCCUGAAGGCACAGGAAUUAACACCCACCAUGAAGGCACAGGAAUUAACACCCACCCUGAAUGGUACAGGAAUUAACCCCCACCCUGAAGGCACAGGAAUUAACCCCCACCCUGAAGGCACAGGAAUUAACACCCACCCUGAAUGGUACAGUAAUGAACACCCACCCUGAAUGGUACAGGAAUUAACACCCACCCUGAUGGUACAGGAAUUAACACCAACGAAGGCACGGAAAUUUACACCCACCCUGAAGCACAGGAAUUAACACCCACCCUGAAGGCACUGGAAUUAACACCCACCCUGAAUGGUACAGGAAUUAACACCCACCCUGAAGGCACUGGAAUUAACACCCACCCUGAAUGGUACAGGAAUUAACACCCACCCUGAAUGGUACAGGAAUGAACACCAACGAAGGCACGGGAAUUAACACCUACCCUGAAAGCACAGGAAAUAACACCCACCCUGAAGCACAGGAAUUAACACCUUCCCUGACUCUUGUAACCCUGGGAGUUCAUAGUGUUAUAAUGGGUCCUUCAAUGGGUUAUGAGGCAUGGAGCUACAGUAUAUCUGUCUCUGCUAUGAGAAAUAUAUAGUUUUCCUCCUGUGUGUGGCUUAGUUGAUGCUUUAUCACUCUCUACUUAUUAAGGUACAAGGCGAGACCCAAAUGCGGACACAGGAGACAGAUGGUUGGAGUCUUACAAUGUUUGUUAAUCCAAAGGGGUAGGCAAGAGAAUGGUCAUGGACAGGCAAAAAGGUCAAAACCAGAUGAGAGUCUAGGAGGUACAGAGUGGCAGACAGGCUCGUGUUCAAGGCAGGCAGAAUGGUCAGGCCGGCGGGUACAAAGUCCAGAAACAGGCAAGGGUCAAAACAGGGAGGACUAGAAGAAAGAGAAUGCAAAAAGCUGGAGAACGGGAAAAAUGUUGGUUGACUUGGAAACGUACAAGACGAACUGGCACAGAGAGACAGGAAACACAGGGAUAAAUACACAGGGGAAAAUAAGCGACACCUGGAGGGGGUGGAGACAAUAACAGGAACAGGUGAAACAGAUCAGGGCGUGACACUACUUAGAUAAGACGGAGCUACUGAUGGGAACCUUCUAUGAUGUAAUGCUAUGAUGUAAUAGCCCAUACAAACGCAUUGAAUAACAGAUUCACUACAUGGAACAACAGAUAGUCCUUGAACAAAAAUCCGAAUGAAGAUUGUUCUGUGAGAUAUAAUAAAAGGAAACAGGAAACAUAAAUAUUUAUUUUUUACUUGUGUUCAACCUCUUAUUUUUGGCACUCAGUCUCCAUAUAUGCAGUGCAUGCUGUCACCCCCAUGCUUCCCCGUAGGGAUGGUCACUGGUUUUCUCCAGAUGUGACGCUUGGCAUUCAGGCCAAAGAGUUUAAUCUUGGUUUUAUCAGACCAGAGAAUCUUGUUUCUCAUGGUCUGAGAGUCCUUUAGAUGCCUUUUGGCAAACUGUCUGGCCACUCUCCCAUAAAAGCCUGAUUGGUGGAGUGCUGCAGAGAUGGUUGUCCUUCUGGAAGAUUCUCCCAUCUCCACAGAGGAACUCUGGAGCUCCCUGACCAAGGCCCUUCUCCCCCGAUUGCUCAGUUUGGCUGGGAGUCCAGCUCUAGGAAGAGUCUUGGUGGUUCCGAACUUCUUCCAUUUAAGAGUGAUGGAGGCCGCUCUGUUCUUGGGGACCUUCAAUGCUGCAGACAUUUUUUGGUACCCUUCCCCAGAUCUGUGCCUCGACACAAUCCUGUCUUGGAGAUUUUCGGACAAUUCCUUCGACCUCAUGGCUUGGUUUUUGCUCUGACAUGCAUUGUCAACUGUGGGACCUUAUAUAGACAGGUGUAGAAACAUCUCAAGGAUCAGUGGUAACAGGAUGCACCUGAACUCAUUUUCGAGUCACGUAGCAAAGGGUCUUAAUACUCAUGUAAAUAAAGUGUUUCUGUUUUUUUGUUUUAUAAAUUUGCAAAAAUGUCUACAAAACAGUUUUCGCUUUGCCAUUAUGGGGUACUAUGUGUAGAUUGAUGAUGGACAAAAAAAAAUGUCAUAAACUUUAGAAUGUGUAAUGUAACAAAAUGUGGAAAAAGCCAAGGGGUCUGAAUACUUUCCUAAUGCACUGUACUUUCAUGAAUUUUUUUAACUGGUACCGGGGACCUUCAGACGAGUCUUGUGAGGCCUGUGGGCGUCAUAUUAAAACAACCGACAUGUACGUGUUCGUGAGAGUCUCACCUUUCCACAGAGGGGACAUAUUAGUUUGUAGGCAAAACUGUUUGGAUGCUAGAGGCGAUUUUGUGAGAAGACCAAUUUUCGUGAUGUCUCAUGGUCUGACAAACACCGCUCAAACUCUGUCAUUUUACACCACAGAUGCGGAAGUACGACAUGCGGUGGAUUAAGACGCAUCCGAUGCAAAACAUAAUAUAUCUCUGUCUUAAACUGACAGAUUUUUAUGGUGAUUUUUUUAUUAUGCUAAUUAGAUUUCCAUGGUGGAGAAGAAAUUGACUAUAGGGCACCUAUAGUCACCUAUGAAUUACUGCAGUAACUGUAAGCUGUAAGCUGUUGAAGCACCCACAUGAUGACAGAUGAUUAAUAGCCACAAGGUCGAGGUUAAAGCAGAACCAUUUUAAUUAACCCAGGCCGGCCACCAACAACAUGGUGAAACAUGGAUGAAAUAAAUGCAGAACGAGGGAUGAAGUCAUAUUAUUGUACAAGCCAUCUAGGAAAUGUCCUAUAACAGAAAACAUCAAUCAACAUUCAGAUGGGGAGUGGAGAGGGGAGACCCAGGGAACAUGAGGAGUGGAGAGGAGACUUAGAGGGACAUGGGGAGACUUGGGGAGUGGAGAGAACCUGUCCAGACUGGUCCGGCUGGCUCCUGCCCUGAACCAGACUAAAAAGGAAGGUACUCCCGAGUGUAGGUUACCUCCCUCCUUUUGUUGGUGUUUUCUUCCCCUAAGGAGGAAUGGUACCAGGCUGGGUGUGGAGCUGAGAGGCUCUCAGGGUACUGCAGCUUGGAGGCUGCACGCCUCUUACCUGCGCCAAGCAACGUUUUGGGUUUCUGGUGUGGAGAAUCUGCAAUGGCAUCCUAUGUGACUUAGCAGUGACUUCCUAAUUUGUGAUAGGCUAGGUUUCAAUUGUGUGUUAAAAAUACACCAAUGCCACAUGCAUGUAAUCAUCAGGUUCUCAGAAUCUGAUGAAGACUUUGGCUAGAGGGAGGGGCUCCGAAAUUAUUGACCAGGAUAAUUAUAUAAUUUUAUAUCAAUAGAAAUGCUCAGAGAAAUAAAUUUUGUUUAACAAGUAAUAUUUUUUUUCUAAAUAAGGUAGGGGUCAAAAUGAUUGACAAUCCUGAAGAUUUGUAUAAAUAAAGUAGUCAAACGUUUCGUAUUUGGUCCUAUAUUCCUAGCUUGAAAUGACU
rnacentral:lncRNA from 1 species